UAGGGAAUAUUGGGCAAUGGAGGAAACUCUGACCCAGCAACGCCGCGUGAAUGAAGAAGGUUUUAGGAUUGUAAAGUUCUUUUAUUAUAGACGAAUAAAAUGACGGUAUAUAAUGAAUAAGCCACGGCAAACUACGUGCCAGCAGCCGCGGUAAUACGUAGGUGGCAAGCGUUGUCCGGAAUGACUGGGUGUAAAGGGUGUGUAGGUGGUCUUUUAAGUGUAAUGUGAAAUCCCUGGGCUUAACCCAGGAACUGCAUUGCAUACUGGAGGACUUGAGUGAUGGAGGGGCAAGUGGAAUUCCAAGUGUAGCGGUAGAAUGCGUAGAUAUUUGGAGGAACAACGGAGGCGAAGGCGGCUUGCUGGACAUUAACUGACACUGAAACACGAAAGCGUGGGGAUCAAACA
rnacentral:rRNA from 1 species